CAACAUUCUGUUGGCGCGAAUUCUUCCUUUUAUUUUCAGGAUAAUGCAAUGGCGACCAUGAUUAGUAACUUCUAGCAAAACUCGUCAGAAACCCAAUACAAAGUAGGGAUAUGUUUUACUGAUAAGGGCCCUUGGUUUUUGAACCUAGUGACUUGAAUCAUAUAAGAAGAUGCUGGCAGAAGGCAAUGGAUUAUUGAGGACAGAUUGACAGACGGAUUACAGUCUCUCAGAAAGAUGACCAGAGCGUCCUAUCCACUGCCAUUUUUGGGCCGUCGUGCAAGAGGGGGGUCUUGUUGGCUGUAAAGUUACUUCACAAGAAAACACAUUCCAGACACAACAUUGUUUCACUCGAGCUAAACGUGAACUUUUCAAAAAAUGAGGACCACUUUCAAAAAAUUCAUCCCUGACACUGCCAGCAAUGAAAAUUUUUUAGAGUGUCACCUGGGUGCUGUUGGACGUUAUAUCUCUAACAGAAAUGGCUUUGUUAUGAAGUCCUUAGGACCCUAUUCAGGAUACAUUUGAACACUUAUGUUGCUUCAUUAUAAGGUAAUUUGUAAACAGCUUAUGAAAAAUUUGAUAUACUCUUCAUCUGUAAUUUCUUGGUUAUAUUAUUGAGGGGAGCGUUAGGAUGUAUAUUUCUUUUGAGUAACUUUCUUUUUCUGGUCCUAAAAAACCUAGGCUACUAUUUCUUCUCUUUACUAGACAAGAUGGGGACCCUUGUCUGCUUGUUUUGCUGUUCUAGGUUGUCUUUGAGACUGAAGUUAAGAUUUUCGGGUUCCACUCUUCUUUCUUACACUUUAUCCUUUUUUAUUUUGUGUGUGUAACAAAGAGCUUAAGUGUAGAGAUUCAACUUGUAAGAAAAACAAUCUUGAGGAUCAAAUCUUAAGAUGAAAACUCAGCUCCACACAAAUAGGCUUGUGGAUGUGAAAAUCAGAACCAUGCAUUCCAAUAGAAAUUUUGAUAUUUCUAACCUCUCAUUGUCAGAUAUAUCUGUGCAGUGUUAAGUGUACACAUUCCCGAAAGUCACCUGCAGAAAAUAAACCGAUUUAUGUUAACAUCUUGUUCGCACUCUUAUGCAUUUGUUAUUUGUACUAGCCUGUGGUGUUUGUUUAUAGGGAAGGUUAAGUAUGCAGUCUUGCCCUUAGAAGUUAAGUAGCAGUCUUUAAGAAGACCAUGAUGUACUUUUUAUUAUACCUAAUCCACUUCUAUCAUUGUUUUUUUUUUUAUUUUUUAAAUUUUUUAAAUUUUAGGUUAAUUAAUAUUUAUGAUAUAAAUUCAACAUAAUUUUUUUUAUAAUUGAACAUAAAAUUAAAUGCCAGGAAUAUUCUGAAGGAAACCACAAAUUUAUAGUUCUCAGAUUUAGGAUUGUAAUAGAAUAUAGUAGAAUGGUUUGUUGAAUCAUUUGCACUUCCUAUUUAUGUGAAGUUGAACCAGACAGCAUCACCGCAUCAUGACCAUAUGGUGAAGGUGUCAAAAUAUAGGUCGUAUUAACUGCAAAGUAAGUCGCAUUGACCGCAAAAUACGAUUUAAGACCAUUACCGUAAUUUUUAUGAGUGUGACCGAAAUCAUAUUUUUAAGGGUAAGUUGCAUACAUCUAAUGUUCAAAGCAGGGUCAAAGCCAGGAUUUUGAUUAGGAGGUCCAAAUUGUCGAUAUACUAGCAAAUUAUUUACUAUAUAAAAACUAGUUAAACUAUGAAAAUUUUAAAAUCAUGUAGACUGAAAUGACCUUAAAUUGUAGCUCAAAAUAUAUUUAACAAAUAGAGUGGAAGCUUUUCUAUAAUUAUCCCUUUUGAAAAAAACUAAGUUUUUUUUUUACUCUAUAUAUUUGCCUAGGAAAUCUCCAAAAAAAAACACUACUAAAAUUAAGAUAGUA